rnacentral:RNase_P_RNA from 1 species
GUGAGCUGGUGGGCGACUUCCGGGCGAAAGCCUGAGGAAACUCCGUCCAUCGAGCAGGUCCGCGAGCCCAAAAGGGCACGGUCGAGAGAUUGGGAAGAUGGAACAGAAACGAUACCUCCCGACUCGCGCGAGGAUGCGGUGACGCUGAGGUCGGGUCGACGGGGAUGAAACGGCCAUCUCGCGGGAUGCAAGGGCAAAUUACCGCCGAUGAACGCCUGCUGGAGGUGGGUGGUAGCCCGCUCAGCUAAAUGUCGCCUGAAAACAGAAGACGGGUUACAUCCAGCACGC